UACGGGGGGGGGGUAAGCGUUGUUCGGAAUUACUGGGCGUAAAGGGCUCGUAGGCGGCCAACUAAGUCGGACGUGAAAUCCCUCAGCUUAACUGGGGAACUGCGUCCGAUACUGGAUGGCUUGAAUUCGGGAGAGGGAUGCAGAAUUCCAGGUGUAGCGGUGAAAUGCGUAGAUAUCUGGAGGAAUACCGGUGGCGAAGGCGGCAUCCUGGACCGAGAUUGACACUGAUGAGCGAAAGCCAGGGGAGCAAAUGGG
rnacentral:rRNA from 1 species